rnacentral:rRNA from 1 species
UACGUAGGGUGCGAGCGUUGUCCGGAAUUAUUGGGCGUAAAGAGCUUGUAGGCGGUUUGUCGCGUCUGCUGUGAAAAUCCGGGGCUCAACCCCGGACUUGCAGUGGGUACGGGCAGACUAGAGUGUGGUAGGGGAGACUGGAAUUCCUGGUGUAGCGGUGGAAUGCGCAGAUAUCAGGAGGAACACCGAUGGCGAAGGCAGGUCUCUGGGCCACUACUGACGCUGAGGAGCGAAAGCGUGGGGAGCGAACAGG